rnacentral:rRNA from 1 species
GGCCUACCAUGGUGGUAACGGGUAACGGGGUGUUAGGGCACGACACCGGAGAGGGAGCCUGAGAAACGGCUACCACAUCCAAGGAUGGCAGCAGGCGCGCAAAUUACCCAAUCCCGACACGGGGAGGUAGUGACAAUAAAUAACAAUACGGGGUUCUUUAGGAUCUCGUAAUUGGAAUGAGUACAAUUUAAAUCUCUUAACGAGGAACAAUUGGAGGGCAAGUCUGGUGCCAGCAGCCGCGGUAAUUCCAGCUCCAAUAGCGUAUAUUAAAGUUGUUGCAGUUAAAAAGCUCGUAGUUGAAUUUCGGGGUUAGUAGGUUGGUCAUGCCUCUGGUAUGUACUGGUCUCACUGAUUCCUCCUUCCUUAUGAACCGUAAUGCCAUUAAUUUGGUGUUGCGGGGAAUUUGGACUGUUACUUUGAAAAAAUUAGAGUGUUUAAAGCAAGCUAACGCUUGAAUACAUUAGCAUGGAAUAAUGAAAUAGGACGUUCGAUCUUAUUUUGUUGGUUUCUAGGAUUGACGUAAUGAUUAAUAGGGAUAGUUGGGGGCAUUAGUAUUCAAUUGUCAGAGGUGAAAUUCUUGAAUUUAUUGAAGACUAACUACUGCGAAAGCAUUUGCCAAGGAUGUUUUCAUUAAUCAAGAACGAAAGUUAGGGGAUCGAAGACGAUCAGAUACCGUCGUAGUCUUAACCAUAAACUAUGCCGACUAGGGAUCGGAUGA